CAGUCGCCGCGGUAAUACAGAGGGUGCGAGCGUUAAUCGGAUUUACUGGGCGUAAAGCGUGCGUAGGCGGCUUUUUAAGUCGGAUGUGAAAUCCCUGAGCUUAACUUAGGAAUUGCAUUUGAUACUGGGAAGCUAGAGUAUGGGAGAGGAUGGUAGAAUUCCAGGUGUAGCGGUGAAAUGCGUAGAGAUCUGGAGGAAUACCGAUGGCGAAGGCAGCCAUCUGGCCUAAUACUGACGCUGAGGUACGAAAGCAUGGGGAGCAAACAGGAUUAGAUACCCCAGUAGUCCCUGUCUCUUAUAC
rnacentral:rRNA from 1 species